AUGGCUCCCCCUACGCCGUCCUCGUCUCCGAUGCCGGUUAUGGACGCACGGAUGAGGCUGAUAAUCCAGGCAGCAGCACUGAUUAGUGUGAUUCAGGCAUGGGUCAUGUUCAUGCACCAGAGAGCUGUUCGUCGUGCUGGGAGACCGUUGAUCCGCUAUGGUCCAUUGUUUCCCCGGAAACAGGAGAGGAUCCAAAAUCUGAACUACAUCUACAACUGCAAUGACGUCAAGGCUUUGUCGAUGCUUAGAAUGAAAAGAGCAUCAUUUGCCAGGCUUGUCGAGACCUUCAGGAGCAGGGGCCUGUUACAAGAUAGCAUCAACACCAGUGUCGAAGAGCAAGUGGCCAUGUUCCUCCAUGUUGUUGGCCAUAACCAGAGGUUCAGGGUCAUUCACAACACGUUCAGGAGAUCAAUGGAGACCAUCUCUAGGUACUUCAAGCAGGUGCUUUUUGCUGUUGGGGAGCUUAGAGGAGAAAUGAUCAGGAUACCAUCUGGCCAGACUCCACCCAAGAUUCGUAGAAGCCCAAGAUGGUAUCCAUACUUCAAGUUCAGCACUAACACAGGCUAG
rnacentral:rRNA from 1 species